AUACAGAAGCCUCAAGCGUUACCCGGAUUCACUGGGCGUAAAGGGUUCGUAGGCGGUUAUAUUAGUCGGGUGUUAAAUCCUGAGGCUCAACCUCAGGCUCGCAUUCGAAACGGUAUAACUAGAAGAAGUGAGAGGUGAACAGAACUCAUGGUGUAGGGGUGAAAUCCGUUGAUAUCAUGGGGAAUACCAAAUGCGAAGGCAGUUCACUGGCAUUUUCUUGACGCUGAGGAACGAAAGCGUGGGUAGCGAACGGGAUUAGAGACCCUAGUAGUCC
rnacentral:rRNA from 1 species